rnacentral:rRNA from 1 species
GUGUCAGCAGCCGCGGUAAUACAGAGGGUGCAAGCGUUGUUCGGAAUUAUUGGGCGUAAAGCGCGUGUAGGCGGCUUUGCAAGUCGGGUGUGAAAUCCCUCAGCUUAACUGAGGAAGUGCGCCCGAAACUGCAGAGCUUGAGUACCGGAGAGGGUGGCGGAAUUCCCCAAGUAGAGGUGAAAUUCGUAGAUAUGGGGAGGAACACCGGUGGCGAAGGCGGCCACCUGGACGGAUACUGACGCUGAGACGCGAAAGCGUGGGGAGCAAACAGGAUUAGAUACCCCAGUAGUCC